AUCCUGGCUCCUUGCGCUGGAGCAGCAGCUGUUUACAUUCAGUGCAUUUUUUGCAACACCCUUACUAAGAAAAUGAGUGCUCUCAUGUGUUCUUGUUACCCUUGAAGUCAUCAGCAAUAGCACUUGUGCAGCUGAUGAAAUCAGUAUGCCAAUCCUUCCAAAAACUUGCUGAGUUUUUCAGCCAUGCCAGCUACCAACUGUAAGGCAAGCUCUGCUGUAGCUGCUGUAUGGCAACCUUAUUUAGACAUGCAGUAGUUCCAGACUUGAUUUAGCUGUCCACUCCCUUCUGGCUGUGAAGGAGUACAGACAAGAGUAAUAAAAAAAAAUUACUGAAGUGGCUUGAAUUUCAAGGGACUUUAAGGCACACAAGUGUUACUUACUUUCCCCAAGGAAACUUAGCACAGGACUUCAAGUUUUAUGUCUAUGUGAAGAAUUCCUAGUGCUCUGCGUGUAUGUGCUUGAUACUUCUCAACAGCUAACCUUCUCUUCAUUUACUUGUAAAGCUAUUAGAACGUGUUUCACAACAGUCUGGAUGACAUUUUGAGCACGUAGAGCCUCUGAAUGCGAGGAUGAAAGAGAUGCUUGUAUCAACACAAAACAUAGGUAUAGACUACAGCAUGACUGCUGUAUAUUUAAUUAUUUCAAAGCUCAGUUAACUUUUUACACAGAGGGGCAAGGACUGCAAUGAGGUGCAAAGGUUAUGGACUGUGCUUUCAGUUGUGUUCCUUAGAGCAGGCUUAUGGUACUCCUUAUGGUACCAUAAGUACUCCAGGUACUUAUGGUACUCCUGUACCAGGCUGAGCUGCCUGGGCAGGGGGAUGGCUCAGCUCAAGGUUAGGGCUGCCCCGUGCCUGACACAGCUGGGCCCAGCAGGGAAGAACUGUAUUAUGAUAAUUCCAAAUCACAGUUAACAGUUUAGUAGUAGUAAGUUUAUUGAAGUGUUCAUUCAAAGUUCUGCACUCUACUGGAUACAGUUCAUAACUUAAAGGCAAGAGACCAAAACAUCACGAUGGGUCCCAACUGGAAUAUUACAAAACUCACAUAAUCAUGUAUCAAGCAGUACAGUUAAACUGUUCAAUCAUUUUGGUCUUCAUCCCAGUCUUUCUUUCCUGAUGGAGGUUUAGGACCACCAGCUGGUUUCGCCAUUAUGAUUGAUACUACUGCUCAGGCUCAUCUCUCCAGUCAUCCUUAUCCCAAUGUCCUUGUUGUUUAGGGACUUUUGGACCGCCUGCUGUUUUUGCCAUAAUAAUCUGAUCGACUCGUAGGACAGUUACUGCUGCGUUUGUGGCCAGCUUGAUACCCCAGUAUUUUCCCAGGUAUGUGUCUAAUAUGCCAGCUUCUAACAUAUCUUUCACAGCAGCAGCUUCAGCCUCAAUAUCAAAUCCAACGUUUUUGUUGCCUUCCUGAUGCACAGCAUAAAGCUUGGAGAUGACUUCAUUUGCCUUUACUCCAGAAUUUUCUGCCAAUGCUCGAGGAAUGGCUUCAAAUGCUUCAGCGAACUUCUUGAUGGCAUAUUGGUCAAGCCCAGGACAAGUCUCUCCAUAAGACGUGAUUUGCUUGGCUAAUUCAAUCUCUGUUGCGCCACCUCCAGGAACAAGACGUUUGUCCCUUGUGAGCACUUUGAAGGUAUUUACGCCAUCAUCCACUGCUCUCUCGAUAUCAUCCAUCAGAUUGUCUGUAGAUCCACGAAUAAGUAUAGUAGAAAUAGCACCAUCCUCCUUUUCGUGCUUAAACACAACAACUUGCGUAUCUCCAACCUCUGAUAAAUACACACUAUUGCAGUGACCCAUUUCUUCUAGAGUAGGGGGAGUCAGUCUGGGUAGGGCUGUGGCACCAACAGUCUUGCACAGUCUUCUCAGAUCCCAUUUUGAGUUCAACCUGACUAUCAUAAGAUUGUAUUUGUUGGCAUAAUGAAGUGCCAUGUCUGCCACUUUGCCACCUGUUACAACUACAUUUGCACCGCUAUCAGCAAUAGCUUUGACUUGCAAAUCCAUUAGGUUUUCUUCUCCCUUGCUAAAAUUCAUCAGCUCUUCAGCAUUCUUUAUAAGUACGGUGCCCUUAGUUUCAGUUAUCAUACCAUCAAAAGGGCAGGAAUACACAGCUAUUUUUGCAUCUUUGACAGAAGUAACAUCUCCUUCAGUUUCCUUUUUAAAAACCAUGCCAUGUAGCACUGAUGAAGCAGAGACACCGGCACCCACAAUCUUGCACACUCUGAUAUUAUCAACGUUGAAAUGACCAGAAUCAGGAAGAAUAGAAACACAGGCCUGAGCAAUAAGCUUUGACAGAAAACUUUCAUUGCCAUACUGCUUGCUCAUUACUGAAGUAUGCAACAAAGAUCCCACUUCAUCAACAUCUCUAAGGUUCUUUGCAGAACAGCACACCAAAUCUGGAAGAAUUUCUAGAGCUUUCUUGCAUGCUUUUUCAUAUCCUUCAAUCACCUCUGAGACCGAUAAUCCCAUCCUCAGAAGGUCUUCUGCUAACUCCAGAAGGACUCCAGCAAAAACAAGAACAAAGUUAGUUCCAUCUCCAACUUCUUGCUCUUGCAUGUGGGAAGCCAUCACAAGCAUUUUUGCAGCAGGAUGCUGGACCUCCAACUCUCUCAAGAUAGUAGCAGCAUCAUUUGUAACAAAAAGCUUCUCCAGAUGAUUGAUAACCAUUUUGUUCAUUCCAUUGGGUCCAUAAGCUGUACGGGUGGUUUGAGCAAGUUCUUUGCAUGCCUGGAUGUUCCUGUAGACAGCUUCCUCUAGUCCUGAGUAAUGCUUCGCUCCCUCCUUGAGCAUCUGGGCAAAGCCCGGGGCCUUGGGGACGUGCAGCGCCAUGGCUCCGCUCCGCUCCGGCCGCGCCAAACCUCAGGAUGCUGGGACCGGCAGCGCGCAUGCGCGGUGAGCGAGGCGGACCCGCAGACACGGC
rnacentral:lncRNA from 1 species